GUCAACAGAUAUUGCAAGAGACAGUGCCUAUGGAGGUGGAUGGACUGCUAGUGAACCCUUUGGAGCAUAAAUUCCCAUUGACAAUUGUUCUUAAGGAACCACACCUAUCUAUAAUACAUUGGGCAGACUCAUGACACUGGAGCAGGAGAAAGAAAGAAAAAAAAGAAAGAAAGAAGAAAAGGAAAAGGAAGAAAAGAAGUGAAAAUGUGCCUUUAAAACACAUCUACGGCAUUACAAAUUAGUAUUCUGGUUGCUCUUCUUUCCUGAAGAACUGUUACGGGAGCAUAAAUAAAUCUAUCCAUACAAAUAGAAGAAUACUGGUGGUAUUUUGAGAAAGCAACUGAAUUGCACCUGGUAUUAUUAUUUUUGACUUAUGCAGCCGACUUUCUCUCUUACCAAAUACCUUUAACAAAUAACAAGCAGAUGGAACAGAGUUAUGUAAAUAUGCAAGCAUGAAAGCACCAAAUGUGAGCAGAAGUAUCUCACCAGCUGGAAUUCACAGUGUUCCAUGCUGCAAAGUUUAGUCUUGACUUCUAUA